rnacentral:rRNA from 1 species
GAUGAACGCUGGCGGCGUGCCUAAUACAUGCAAGUCGAGCGAACGGACGAGAAGCUUGCUUCUCUGAUGUUAGCGGCGGACGGGUGAGUAACACGUGGAUAACCUACCUAUAAGACUGGGAUAACUUCGGGAAACCGGAGCUAAUACCGGAUGAUAUUUUGAACCGCAUGGUUCAAAAGUGAAAGACGGUCUUGCUGUCACUUAUAGAUGGAUCCGCGCUGCAUUAGCUAGUUGGUAAGGUAACGGCUUACCAAGGCAACGAUGCAUAGCCGACCUGAGAGGGUGAUCGGCCACACUGGAACGGAGACACGGUCCAGACUCCUGCGGGAGGCAGCAGUAGGGAAUCUUCCGCAAUGGGCGAAAGCCUGACGGAGCAACGCCGCGUGAGUGAUGAAGGUCUUCGGAUCGUAAAACUCUGUUAUUAGGGAAGAACAUAUGUGUAAGUAACUGUGCACAUCUUGACGGUACCUAAUCAGAAAGCCACGGCUAACUACGUG